rnacentral:rRNA from 1 species
GAUGAACGCUGGCGGCGUGCUUAACACAUGCAAGUCGAACGGACAGAUUGGAGCUUGCUCCAUGAAGUUAGUGGCGGACGGGUGAGUAACGCGUGGGUAACCUGCCCUAUGCAGGGGGAUAACAUUCGGAAACGAAUGCUAAUACCGCAUAAUCUAGUUGGUUCGCAUGAACUGAUUAGCAAAGAUUUUAUCGGCAUAGGAUGGACCCGCGUUAGAUUAGCUAGUUGGUGAGAUAACAGCUCACCAAGGCGACGAUCUAUAGCCGGCCUGAGAGGGUGAACGGCCACACUGGGGACUGAGACACGGCCCAGACUCCUACGGGAGGCAGCAGUGGGGAAUAUUGCACAAUGGGCGCAAGCCUGAUGCAGCGACGCCGCGUGAAGGAUGAAGGUUUUCGGAUCGUAAACUUCUAUCAGCAGGGAAG